rfam:Gossypium hirsutum cultivar TM-1 chromosome 1, whole genome shotgun sequence
AAUCCAUGGUGAGGACACCUUUGUAGUGGGUCCUUGUAUCUCUCCCAUGCUUCGUAAAGGAUUUCUAAGUCCAUCUGCACAAACGAAGAGAUAUCAUUAUGUAAUU